UACUGGGUUGAUCCUGCCAUUAAUCAUAUGCUUGUCUCAAAGCUUAAGGCAUGCAUGUGUAAGUAUGAACAAAUUCAGAUUGUGAAAUUGCUAAUGGCUCAUUAAAUCAGUUAUAAUUUGUUUGAUGGCAUUUCCUACUCAGAUAACUGUAGUAAUUCUGGAGCUAAUACGUGCAACAAACCCUAACUUCUAGAAGGGAUGCAUUUAUCAGAUAAAAGGUCGACGUGGGCUUUGCCCGUUGCUCUGAUGAUUCAUGGUAACUCGACGGAUCGUACAGCCUUUGUACCAGUGACGCAUCAUUCAAAUUUCUGCCUUAUCAACUUUCGAUGGUAGGAUAGUGGCCUACUAUGGUAGGGACGGGUGACGGAGAAUUAGGGUUUGAUUCCAGAGAGGGAGCCUGAGAAACGGAUACCACAUCUAAGGAAGGCAGCAGGCGCGCAAAUUACCCAAUCAUGACAUGGGAGGUAGUGACAUUAAAUAACAAUACCGGGCUCUAUGAGUCUAGUAACUGGAAUGAGUACAAUCUAAAUCCCUUAAUGAGGAUCCAUUGAAGGGCAAGUCUGGUGCCAGCAGUCGCGAUAAUUCCAGCUCUAAUAGUGUAUAUUUAAGUUGUUUCAGUUAAAAAGAUUGUAGUUGGACUUAGGGGUGGGUCAGCUAGUCUGCCUCAUAGUGAGCAUCGGUCUGCUCGUCCUUAUUGUCGACGAUGCACUCAUGGCCUUAAUUAGCUAGGUCGUUCCUCUAGCACUGUUACUUUGAAGAAAUUAGAGUGUUCAAAGUAGGCCUACGCUUGUAGACAUUAGCAUGGGAUAACAUCAAAGGAUUUUGAUCCUAUUAUGUUGGCCUUCGGGGUUGGAGUAAUGAUUAACAGGGAUAGUCGGGGGCAUUCGUAUUUCAUAGUUAAAGGUGAAAUUCUUGGAUUUAUGUGUGACAGCCCUAAAGUGACCCUAGUCGGAAAGCGGUUUCGGGACCGCUAAACCGAGUCACCAAAUUAUUUG
rnacentral:ncRNA from 1 species